rnacentral:misc_RNA from 1 species
GCAAAUUGUAAUUUUAAACUUUUGGCAUCAAAAUAGUCAAUGUCACAUUGGAAAAAUUAAUCUGUUGAACCUUACAUGGGAUAGAUCAUGCUAAUAAAGCAUAAGGAGUAAACCACUGCUCCUAUUAAGCAGGUACUUAACCACCACUGACAUCAAAGCCAGUUCAACAAUAUACAACUUCACUGAUGGCAAAAGUUUAAAAUUACAAUUUGCACACUUCUGAGUUAAAUAAAAAGAACAAGAAAAAUAUACAGUUCUGUAACUAAUAUAGACUCACACACAGAUUCCUCCUUCAAUGUCCCAUGUGCCAUUUGAAUUUGC